UCGUUUACCUGGCCGGGGAGACACCGUGAUCAAGAAGGCGGUUCACCCAGGGCGAGGCUCAGCCACUGCACUCCGGCUGUGCCGACCCCUGAAUUCUGAAUUCCCCAAUGUGGGAAUCUCGACUGCAUAAUUUCUGGUAGUGGGGGACUGCUCCCCG
ensembl:snRNA U1 U1 spliceosomal RNA